GUUAUUAUUUUUGUAUAUUUCUGAGAUUCCACAUAGAUAACAAUAGUUUAAGAGUUGCACUCCGGCAGGCACCUAGAAGGCCUGUGGGCCUCCACGAGUGGAGACCGCCUACCGAAGCACGACAGUGGGUAGAUUCACAAUGGGUGUAUGGAGACGUCUUUCGACGAUCCUGUAAUGAUCCCUCCGCUGGUUCACCAACGGAGA
rnacentral:misc_RNA from 1 species